CGCUUAACACAUGCAAGUCGAGCGAUGAAAUUUCGACAGAUCCCUUCGGGGUGAAGAUGAAAUGGAUUAGCGGCGGACGGGUGAGUAACACGUGAGUAACCUGCCUUAGACAUUGGGAUAGCCUCGGGAAACCGGGAUUAAUACCAAAUGAAAUCACAUAUGCACAUGCAUAAAUGAUCAAAGCUCCGGCGGUCUAAGAUGGACUCGCGUCCCAUUAGCUAGUUGGUGAGGUAACGGCCCACCAAGGCGACGAUGGGUAGCCGGCCUGAGAGGGUGAACGGCCACAUUGGAACUGAGAAACGGUCCAAACUCCUACGGGAGGCAGCAGUGGGGAAUAUUGCACAAUGGAGGGAACUCUGAUGCAGCGACGCCGCGUGAACGAAGAAGGCUUUCGAGUCGUAAAGUUCUUUGAUAUGGGAAGAUAAUGACGGUACCAUAAGAAAAAGCCCCGGCUAACUACGUGCCAGCAGCCGCGG
rnacentral:rRNA from 1 species